GACGAACGCUGGCGGCGUGCCUAAUACAUGCAAGUCGAACGCAGUGGGGACGGUUGAGUAACACGUGGGUAAUCUCCCCUCAUUGGGGAUAACACUUGGAAACAGGUGCUAAACCGAUACUGAUGUAUGGACCCGCGGUGCAUUAGCUAGUUGGUGAGGUAACGGCUCACCAAGGCCACGAUGCUUAGCCGACCUGAGAGGGUGAUCGGCCACACGGGGACUGAGACACGGCCCAGACUCCUACGGGAGGCAGCAGUAGGGAAUCUUCGGCAAUGGACGAAAGUCUGACCGAGCAACGCCGCGUGAGUGAAGAAGGUUUUCGGAUCGUAAAACUCUGUUGUUAGAGAAGCGGUAGCUAAGGAGAAAGCCACGGCUAACUACGUGCCAGCAGCCGCGGUAAUAG
rnacentral:rRNA from 1 species